AAGCAACACUCUGUGGCAGAUGAUCAAAACCGUCUGUCACAAUUUGCGCUUGCCACAGCAAAAAAAGUCUAACCUAUUCCGGUGUUCUCUCCUCAGUGAGACUAGCCGUUAUAUGGACUUGAACAAU
ensembl:snoRNA small nucleolar RNA, H/ACA box 28